rnacentral:rRNA from 1 species
GAUGAACGCUAGCUACAGGCUUAACACAUGCAAGUCGAGGGGCAGCAUGAAGUUUGCUUGCACACAAUGAUGGCGACCGGCGCACGGGUGCGUAACAGGUGUGCAAUCUGUCCAUAGUCGGGGAAUAGCCCAGCGAAAGUUGGAUUAAUGCUCCAUGUGAGCGAGUGCCGCAUGACACUUGCUUGAAACGUAAGGACUAUGGGUGAGCACGCUUCUGAUUAGAUAGUUGGUGGGGUAACGGCUCACCAAGUCGACGAUCAGUAGGGGUUCUGAGAGGAAGGUCCCCCACAUUGGAACUGAGACACGGUCCAAACUCC